rnacentral:rRNA from 1 species
AUUGAACGCUGGCGGCAGGCCUAACACAUGCAAGUCGAACGAGUGGCGGACGGGUGAGUACUGUCUGGGAACCUGCUUGAUGGAGGGGGAUGACUACUGGAAACAGUAGCUAAUACCGCAUACCAUCAGAUGUGCCCAGAUGGGAGUAGCUAGUUGGUGGGGUAACGGCUCACCAGGGCGACGCACCCUAGCUGGUCUGAGAGGAUGACCAGCCAGACUGGAACUGAGACACGGUCCAGACUCCUACGGGAGGCAGCAGGGGGGAAGAGUGCAAAAUGGGCGAAAGCCUGAUGAAGCCAUGCGGCGUGGAUGAAGAAGGCCGUCGGGUGGUAAAGUACUUUCAGCGGGGAGGCGUUACCCGCAGAUGAAGCAACGGCUAACUCCGUGCCAGCAGCCGCGGUAAUUC